AAACUUACCAGGUCAAGACAUGGGCGUGAUUGACAGGCUAAUGACUUUUCUCGAUUCCAUGGAUGGUGGUGCAUGGUCGCACUUAGUUGGUGCAGUGAUUUGUCAGGUUUAUUCCGGUAACGAACGAGACCUCGGCCUUGUAAAUAGCUAUGCUGCUUACAGGGACAUUGGCGGCUACGCCAAGGAAGCUCGAGGCAAUUGCAGAUCUGGAAUGCCCUUAGAUGUCCUGGGUCGCACGCGUGCUACAAUGACGCCACGAACGAGCUUGUGUGAUGAAAGUUACGCAUAAUCAGCAGUCGGCGUCUUAAGGGAUAGUCUCUUGUAACUGUGGGACUCCAACUAGGAAUGUCUCGUAAGCACAAGUCAACAUCUUGUGUUGAUUACGUCCCUGCUCUUUGUACACACCGCCCGUCGCUCCUACCGAUCGAGUGUUUAGGUGAAUUUGAUGGACGUAAGGAAGUCAAAUAAACCUGAGCACUAGAGGAAGAGAAGUCGAGCAG
rnacentral:rRNA from 1 species